rnacentral:lncRNA from 1 species
GCUUGGAAGUGGGGAGGAUCACCCGAUUUCUGGAGUUGCCCCCUGGGAGAUGGCCCUGGAUGUGGAGGUUUAGCCUCUGUGGAGGGGGACGCCCCUGCCCCUCCCUUCCACCACCCUUUCUUUAAAGGUACAUCUUUGUGGGAGUGUCCUUUUGUUCCUUGAUCUGUGCAAGGUAAUGUUGACGGCUCUGAGUCCUCAAGUUUUAUGCCGAGGCUCCCUUAAACCCUCUACCCUCUUUGCUUCUAGCCCCCCAAAAGAAAAGCUCCACCAGCCCCCAAGACUUCAGGUUUGCUGGGUGUUGGAACUUUCUGUUUGUUUUUGUUUGUAUUGUGUUUGGGCUAUCUUUGGCCGUAGGGGCCUUGGAAAAACAUUUGGGAACACACGCCGCCAGGUGACCUGAACUGUGUGAAGGGCAAGUUGACAAAACAGGGCACCUUGGGCCUCCUUCCACCUGGCUUUGGAAAACUGGAGAGUUUUCUAGAAGCAGGGAGGAGGGUGAGGGAGAAAGCAGCCCAGCCGGGGUGACCCCUCUCUGGAAGUUGUGCAGAGACCCCAUCUGGAAGGUUUCUCCACAGGCUUCUGUGGGCUUAGUGUAGAGUUGGCUCUGCGGGAACCCAGCGUGGCCUCUGUCCCUGUUUGGGUGGCCAUGCGGGGGCCUGAACAGAGGGGUGAGGUAUGUGGAGGGGAGCCCCAUGUGCUGUGGGGUCACUGAGGCAAGGCUGGGCCUGUGGGUCCAGCGGUGGACAAAGCCUAGCACUGCAGCUGGCCUGCACUUCUCAGGGGGAGCUUUGUCCUGCAGGCUGUAGUCAGUGUUACGUGCAGAUGCCACAAUUAUGGGAAGAAGUCUGUUGGUCACUUAUCUAAAGGUGCAAGGUGCAAACUCUCAGUUUUGAGGCAACAUUGUUUCGGAGCGGGAUGGUGGGAGCUUGGACUGGAGGCCUUGCCCUGUUUAAGGGAAAAGUGCUCUCUUUGGAGUACUGAACCAAGUUGGGAAAACAGAUUUCUCCCUUUGAACCCAUGCCUCUCCCGGCCCUGGGGAUGCGUAUCUUAAAGUAAAUGAAGUGGAAAUCUCCAGAAUGUUAUGUGGUCAUAAAACAUGCGCAGAACUGGGCUGGAGUGAUGAGAUGCGGAAAAGCUGGCAGAGUUGGCUGAUUUGCACCCUCCCCAGAGGGGACAGACACGGGAAUCAGGGACAUAAAUCCUGGGAACACGGGCAUAAGGAGUCGUCGGUCGGUGUCCGUGGCCUCCUUGGCCUGGUUCAGGUGGCUGGCAAUUCUCCCUCGGGCUAUGCCCCAUUCUCCAGGGCUGACCCAGGGUUUUAGGGAUUUUUAGGAAAUGCCCUAGUGCUUCAUUUCUUCGGGGGAAGUGAGUGAUUACGUUUUUCCUUGGGAUUUUUCCUUUGCAAAAUGUGACUGAAUCAGCUACCCAGUGGGCUGGCCUGGCCUGGCCUCCAGCAGCUGAUUUGUGCUUUGAUUUAAGCCGUCGUAUUUAGCAAUUGUGCUUCGGUUGAGAGCCUUUUGAUUUCGCUGUCCCCCUUUUGAAUUCUUCUAGUUUUCCUGAAACUGGCGCCUCCUCUGCCCCUCCCCCCACCCCCUCCAUCCCUGUAAGCCCGGUACCUCACUUGGUCGGGAAAGCGGCUUCCGGGGCUGGCCCUUGUGCCCUGGGGCCGGCUUCGGGAAGCUGGCUGGAGGGAAGGGUUUCAACCAGACCCCCAGGGAGACCCAUGGAAGACUUAAAAUCCAGCUGGACUCCUGGUUUUGCCUACUGGGAGGAAACCCGGAUUCCCUCAACUCUUAAGUAGAUUGCAGCCUGGUGAAUAACCUUGCCCUUGUGGCUUUUUUUUUUUUUUUUAAAGACAAACCAAAUCCCAACCUAUGAAAGAUGGGAGAUCCAUUUUUGUUUAGCCAGAUUGGAUUGGCAAGGGAGGUGUUCGGAGAAGCCACCCCUCUCAUCUCGGCUCCCAAUGUCCUAGCAACUCUGGGAGUUCUGAUACUUAGAAAUACCUCUGGGGUUUCACAGGUGGCCGUGCCUGGGGGUGGCCCAGGUCUCCUUCGGUGCACCUUUGCCCAAAGCCCAGCUUUUGGAACCGUUAGUGGAGGUCAGCGUUCUGUCUCCUGCUUCGCGCUAAUGUGUGGCCCUCACUCCAGCACGGGGUGGAUUUUCCUUCCAGGCCAGUUUGCGGCUCUCUGAGCACGAUGGUGACUGUUUGGCCUGUCUUCAUUCUUCUCCACAAAAGAACAGCACUCCUGCUCUGUGACAGGUCCGUGAAAGAGGUGUCCCGGAAGCUAGGGGCAGUCUGGGUUCCAGGAAGAGUUUUUCUUGAAGCGGCCUAGCGUGAGGGCCAUGAUGAUGGACCCUGGGUCCCGAGGGGCUUGACUUGGAAUCCUGACUGCCACUUGCCAGCUGAGCAGCCUUUGACAAGUAACUGCUCUGUGCCCGUUUCUUCCCCUCGUGAAGGAAGCUCGAUACUACGAUGUAGCGUUGUGGCGAGGCUGAUAGGAAGAAUGUAGAUUCGUUGCCUGGCAUAACACCAGUGGACCUUCGACUGGUCCUCAUCUCCUCGGCUCUCGUAUUUGGAAUCUACGUGAGUAUACGCGUUGGUUGAGAAGGUGCAAGUGGAGUGACUUGAGACCUCAGGCUUGUGGUCUCGUGGGUUGGAAGGUCUUGUACGGUGUCUGCCGUGUAGCCUGGGGCAAGUUACUUAACCUCCUGGGAACAGCAGCUUAGUGAUCAUAAGGUGGGGAUGAGGUCUGGGAACCUCUUCCCCUGUCUCAGCCUUUCUUGUCUACUGACCGUGUGCCUGGGACUGGGCCGGGCGAGGGUUACGGCCGUGAGACGUGCACGAUCCCUCGGCUGCCCACUGUGAUUUGUACUCCGGUUCUGAGAGCAGCCGAGGGGUGUCGGGAGUCCUCUUGUGGCUGAGGCUCGGAGGGGAGGGGGUCCCCCCAGCAUCUGAUGGCCACUUCCUGGUGCAGUAGGGCUUCCCAGGUUGGGAGCCGGCAACGGAGAGCUGUGGAACAGGAGGUGGAUGGGGCUGGAUUAGCCGGCACAGAGUACUUAAAGUACCCCGGAUGUGCACAUGUGGCCACCUCGAACAUCUGCUCAGCCAUACACCCAGCCACUUCGUGAAAGGUCCCCAGGAAAGGUGAAUUGCCACAGCUUGGCAAUGCCCAUUCAUUGACCCAGCGGGCAUGCUAAGAGCAACUCUAGCGGGACCAGUCAAGCAGGGUACAAAAUCAAAGUGGGGGUGGGGGUGGAAGGAAAUAAGUUGAUGUUCCAAAAAAUGCUGCCGCGUAUUCAGCCAGGAAAUAAAAAUCAGAAUGUCUUUGGACUUCCUUAUACUUUUUUUUUUUUUUAUGGCUCAGUGAUGUUUUUAUUUUGAAUUUCAAACCAGUGAUUGAGAGAGACGGUGAUCUUUCUCAGCUCUUUCUCAGCGCUUUAGAGUCUUUAGGAGUCCCAACUGGCCGUGGGCAGUGGGCUGGGCUUGCAGACGGACACAGAGCAGGUGACUUCUCACCCACUGCGCUGCUCCCUCCUCCCUUUGGCACGGUCUGGGGAAUUUUGAAAUCUGGGGAAUUUUGAAAUCGCCCUGUAGCCAGACCCCUUGUGUUUGCUGUCCAGGAGAACUGGAGAGGGAGGUGCUGUGUGGAAAGAACCAUCGCCUGAUUUUAAUCUCUGCUCUGCCACUCUGGGCCUGAGAGCCCCCUUCUCUGUCAAGUGGGGAUUGGACUGAAUACAGCAUACACCCCUUGUAGUCUUAACAUUGCUUCUACGAUUCUGGGCCGGGAGGCACAGAGGAGGGCACAAGAUUGGAACCUGGGGCUCUGGUUGGGAGGGGUGGGGAAAAGACUCGGAGAUGUGCAGCUGGGAAAUUUGGAUCAGUCUGUGAAGACUUUGUGGUUCAUUCUCAUGAAACUCACUUCCUCUCACUGGAUUUCUGCCCUCGGGUGUGUGGGGUUCAAGGGAAAAACUAGCCUCUCCUUCUUAAUGACUGAGACUUUCAUUCUGGUCUUCAAUUUUCUCUUUCUCCAUGUACUAUGUAAGGUAGAUCUCCUCCACUCUCCUGAAAACGAGUAGAGUUACUGCUCAUAUGCUGUUGGCACCUGGCUUUCCUGGAGAUUGGUGGAGGACAAAAUCCAUUCCUGCUGAAGGCAGGCAUUGGGGAAAGGGAAGGUUGGAAACCAGGCUCUCCUGUGGACUAGCUGCGUGACCUUGGACCAGUGACGUGCCUUCUUGGGACUCAGUUUUCCUGGAUGUGAGGAUACACAUCUACUUUGUAGGAUCAGAGGAUCACAAGAGAAUACCCGUGUGAAAGGCCGGGUGCGUGGCAACAGGGAGUAUACACAACUGUUCUCAAGUGACACCAUAGUUCAACCCAGGGCCUGUAGGGCCAGUGAAGAAACCCUGGUGAGGUCAAGGAAAGAUGACCUGAGGCUGGCAAGCUACUUGUUGGCUUAAUAUCUGGGGAGAAAAUACUGGGAGAAAAGUUAAGUCCUUGCUGUACUGUGUGUGUAGGGGUGGGGGGCGGGGGGGCUGGCUUCUUGAGGGAGAUAUGCUGGGUACACCCUUGUGGAGGGGGUGUAGGGAGAAGUCCCAGACUGUACCAGGGGUGGGUUCAUGCAAUCACUGUGCUCCAGCUUAUGUGAGGGAACAGGUCAGUGGGAGAGUGAGGACAACAUUCUCUUGAACCCCUUCCUGUAGAGCUUGAUGUUGUGGGUUUAAGAACAUGAAAAAAAAUGUCUUUUUUUUUUUGCUGUUGGAACUUUGAGGGCGAUUAAACAGAUACUUGGAACCAGGACUUGCAUAUGAGCAAAAUGUUAGUCUCCAACUUGCCUGGCCAGACCACUGUGUAUCUGGGAAAAGUCAACCAGACCACUUGUUCCCAGCUGCGUAGUGUGGAGGGUUCACCCUCCCUUGGCCUGAGUCUUUUUCCCUCUCCCCCUGCCUCUCCUUCUCCUUCUGUGUCUGGUGAUAGCAAGCAUUCAUUGUCACUCAGGUCUGGGCGCACACUAACCUUGGCCAAAUCACUGAACGUUAAACCAUCUGGCAAAAUAUCGCGUUUCGACAAUGGGCCUUUUCUAUAUAGAUGGGGAUAGAGAGGGCAGUGCUGGAUGCUGGAAAACCACUUAAGCAUUGACAGUGGAAAGGGGCAGGGUCCAGGACCCUGACUUGAAUGUAAGGGAUGGGGCUGGGGGGGGGGGGGGGGGGGGGGGNGGGGAGGGGGCUGCUCCUUAAAAUAGAAAUAGGUUGGAGAACCAGCUCGGCCUGUUUCCAGCGCCCCAGUCGGGGAAGGGGCUACUGCCAACCUACCUUGGCAUCCUCCCUUUCGUCCUUUCGGUGGAUUUUGUUGUAAUUAGACAAGUCGUGACAAAUACCCCAUUGCCCUUUGGGCUGGGGAGUUUUGAGGACUCCUGCCUGGAAACCCAGCCUCAUUCACUUGGGAGCCAUAAUUAGGCAAGAGAACAGUUCUCGGGCCCUUGAUUCAAUAAAGACCCUUUUAUGAUGUUGGUUUUUCCCAGAAAAAUAAUACCACUUUGCCCCGUUUAUUGCAUUUAGAUGUGUAAUCAUAUUAGAGCUAAACAGCCCGGGGGACCGAAGUUACGUAGUUGGGGUUUUCACCAAAGCCUGUUACCGGGUCUUCAGAGGAAAACCGUGUCCUCGGGGGAAAAAAAAAAAAAAAAAAAAAAGAGAGAAGAAAAGAAAACGACAAGGAACAUUUUUGAGGAUUUUUCUCCCGUGGCAAAAAAAGAGUAUAUUUUCUUGCAUCAGGGUGAGAGGUGGCCCGGGAUAAAAACUAGAAAGUGAAACUAACUUGAGCGGCCCCUGUCAGUGCCGACGCCUGGUGCCCUCCGCAGCCCUGCCUGUGGCCAGGGCGUGCGUCCGCAGCACGGUCCCCUCCUUGUCGGACAAACGGUAUUUAUCAGAUGGGUAGCGCGUGUCCUGCCGAGGGCUGGAGGAAAUACCAGAGAGGAUGCCUGUGUCCCCUCCAGCAGGAGUCGUGGUGCCCCAGCACGUCUGCACCACGGUGGCAGGGCUGCGGGCGCUGGUGCACACAGGUGGCAGUUCUCUGCCUCCCCAAGCCCCUCCCCGUGAGGGCAGUCAGCCGUGACUAAAUAUAGUCCUGGAGGUCUCAGGCAGCUUUGGUUGGCUGGGACGUUUUGCGUGGCUCCGCCCACCGUCGCUGGCCACGCCUUCCAGGCAGUGGGCUCUCGGAGGGAUGCCCUUCCCCUGGCCCUGUAGCGUGCAGACCCCCAUCUACACAAGCGUCCCCUCUUACCUUCUUACCCCAGACAUUUUGUCGGGCUAAACACAUUUCCCAAUCGGAGUAAAAUCCCUCCUAGAAAUCUGCCAGUGCCGGGUUAGGCAGAGCUCAUGAGUGGAGUCCAGAACCUCUUUCUCAAUUUGGGGUGUAGAAAUCUCAGGCCAUGGGGAAAUUUCUGGGAGUCAUUUGUAGGAGUGCUCUAUGAAGAAACAAGAGGGUAUGACAUUUCAGGAGGCUGAAACCCUGUUGUAUUAAAGGGGGUGGGGGAUCCAUUUAAUUCCCCCACUUAAUUCCCCAUCAGGACAGCUGAUGGGACUUAUUGCUGAAAUAUUUUUCAGAUAUCACCCUUUAAUGCAGAAGCACUGCGUUUUUGUAGAUGAUUCCACUGUUUAUACGUAAUGUGUCUGGAGAUAUUCUUUCAUAAUGUUUGCGGGUUUUUGGUAUUUUAAACUUUCUGGAUGUUUUACACUCUUUGGAAGAAGUGCUGUUAAAUUACAUAUACAUACAAAUAAUAUUUGCUUUUGCUUCUCCAAAGGAGUGUAAUUAGAACAUCUGAAACCAGAUAACCCAAUUAGUGCAUUUUUCUAAUUAGCUGUUACAUUAUUUUAGAUUUCCAAGUGGAAAAUUAUUUUAGAGAUGAGAUAAAUUAUUUUGGAUUUCCAAAUGGAACUUGGGCUGCAGGGAGGUUCUGAGCAAGCACACAAAGAGGAAAGAAAUCAUGUGUUUUCAGUUUUGGCUACGACUCCCUCACUUGCUCCAUGCAAAACACCUUGUGAACCUGCCCAUCAGGCAGCAACAGUGCGCAGACAACAGUUUUAUUUUCCUUGACUCGGAUCAAUGAAGUUGGAAAGAUUGUUCAUCUGUGUCAGCUUCUCUCUGCUCCUGCCACUGGAACAGGUAGAUGAAGGCAGGGUUUAAGUACCACUGUUUUACAUUUGUCAGCAAUGAUGUUAGUGGCUGUUCUUUGGGGGAAAAAACUCUGGUGAUAGUUCAUUCAGUUCGUAUUUUCUGUAUGCCUUGAGUGUGCUUGCUUUGUGCCCUGUGGCCAUGGGGCCAUCUGCAGGGAUGGGGACCUGCAGCCAAGACCAGGGAACGGAGCUGGGACCCAGCUUUUGUACUCUGUGGCUGUUACUGGUGCUGGCCCACAGUCCUUGCCCCAAAUUCUGAACUACCUCCCCCCAAAAAAACAAAAAACUGAAAACCAAAAGUUUGUUGGUAGAACUCAUUUCAUGGGAAAACCUGACCCAAACUGAGGUGAGACCAUUAGAGUCUAUUUCUCUUGGGGAGUGUGAAUAUCCAAUGGGUUUCACUGAGUGAUAGGAAUGUGUUUAAUUAGGGGUGUUGCAAAACAUGUGGUAUGUAUACCUCAUUACCUUUUUAUUUUUGAUUGAUUGAUGUUUUAUUUUUUUUUUUAAUUUAUUUUUUUUUUAACGUUUAUUUAUUUUUGAGACAGAGAGAGAGAGAGAGAGAGAGCAUGAACGGGGGAGGGUCAGAGAGAGAGGGAGACACAGAAUCUGAAACAGGCUCCAGGCUCCGGGCUGUCAGCACAGAGCCCGACGCGGGGCUCGAACUCACGGACCGCGAGAUCGUGACCUGGCUGAAGUCGGACGCUCAACCGACUGCGCCACCCAGGCGCCCCGAUUGAUUGAUGUUUUAAUGUUUGUUUAUUUUUGAGAGAGAGACAGAGUGCGAGCAGGGGAGGGGCAGAGAGAGGGAGACACAGAAUCCGAAGCAGGCUUCAGGCUCCGAGCUGUCAGCACAGAGCCCGACGCAGGGCUUGAACCCACGAACCAUGAGAUCAUGACCAGAGCCAGAGUCAGACGCUUAACCCACUGAGCCACCCAGCCGCCCCAACAUAGCUGCUUCUUUUCCCUACUGUUAGCUGAGCCGUCUGUAUGCCUUCUCUCCUUGUCUUGUUUUCCUCCCCCGUGGAGUCUCCCUUAAGAGAUAAAAUUUGUGACUCUGAUGGCAGAACCCACGCCCAGCUUUGGCUCCUCCAGAUGGUCUGGAACUGUGGAGGAAAGGAGGGCGCUGCCUCCCUGGACCAGCCUCAUUAGCGGGAGUGGGUAUUUGUGUGGACAGAUGCUUUCAGGCUCUGGGCCAGCCUUGCCCAGGGGCACUUGGGUCUCCACCCACUGAUGAGUGUUGGGGGGGCUGAGCCAACCCCAAGGCAUGCUGGCCAGUCGGCAUCAGGCCAGGCAGGGCUGGAGAGUUUGUUGGGCAUGGGGAGGGAGCUGAAGGGGUGAGUGUAAGCAUUUAGGAGCUGAGGUGUUCUUAGCAAAAGAAUUUCUGGCCCAGAGACGUUGGUUAUCGUAAACCUGGGGACUCUGAUGGCUGAGUUUCAGGUCUCCUGGCUUUGUUCAUCGAGCCUGUGAACAGCCGGUGAGGGUGGGUGGGGCCAGCGAGUCCAGGAAGGCUUUCUGCUGCCUUAAAGGCUGCAGUCCAGCUGUGCCCUCGGGCUCCCACCUCCAGAGCAACUGUCCUGGGGCUGACUGGGUAGGUGUUGGAAGGAGGCCCCACGGAGCCCACUCCCCUGAGUUGGGUGCUGGGAGCACCAGCAUCCCUCUUCCUGCCCUACCCAGCUCCCUCUUCAGGGAAACUUGGCCCCUGACUCAAGCAUGCUUGGCCUCUCCAGGCCCCGGGGCCAGACCGUCCCAGCCAGCCCCUGCUGCAGGCCCCGGCAUCCCUGUCUGCCCAGUAGCUUCUCUGGAGGAGGGGUUCCCCCAACACAUCUUGGGACUCUUGCCCUCUGCCUGACCACUUCCUUCCCUCGUUGGGUGGGACUGGCACAUUCUUUUCUUUCUAAAGCAAAUUCCAAACAAGGGCUGAUAACUCUGGUUGGCUUUCUUUUCCUUCCACCAUGGUUUUGUGGGUUGCUGGCUAUUUUAGGGACUUCAAAUUCAGAGUGGAGCCUCCUCGCUCUGCAGCUCCUCUGGAGGCCCUGAUGGCUUUUCACCCCCCAAGGGGGGGCGGCCAGGCCCGUGGUCAUCAACGUGCGAUCAGCACAGGCCAGGCUCAGGGAAGGCUCGAGGCCCAGGAAUGGAUGCGCUCCGCUGCUAGCCAUGCCCAAGUGGGUCAUUUUCACACACCUGGCAGGGCAGGUGGGGGUUGGGGGGGUCCUCUAGCCACUACCUGGGGCCCCAACCUCACCUCAUUCUUGAACAGCGGGGCCAGACGCCGCCUGUCCUGUGGUGAGUAGACGGCCUCGAGCGGUGCUUCUUAAACUUGGGUGUCCCCGAGCAUUGAACAAGGAGCCUGUCAUACAAUGCAGACUGGGGCCCUGGAGCCAGCAUUGGUAAUCUGUGCGUGUGACUGGGUGUCCGUGGUUUCAGGACCAUGCUGCUGGGAGGCCAGUAGGUGAAGCAGCUUCACAAGUGUGGAGUCGGGGGCAGCAGGGAGAAAGAAGGGGCUGGGGGGCCAGAAGGGUCACCCAGAAGAGGUGAGCUGAGUCUUGAGAACACAGCGGGGAAUGGGUAACAAUAACUCACUCCGCUUGAAUGCUCUGCGCGGGGUAUAGUCCUCAGCCUUUGAGAGGAAUGAACGUCUUUAAUCCCGUGAACCAGGUGGUCACCUUGAUCUUGCAGAGGAGCCGACUGAUGCCAAGGGUUACAUAGCUUAUCAAAGGUGCUGGGUCUCACCCCCUUACUCUACUCCACUGGACUGGGGCCAAGGCACCCCAUUCCCCCCGUGUGAGCAGGACCAGCUCAUACAAACAGGGUUGGGGCUUAUGCAGUCGUGCUGUUGAACGGUUCAGAGGGCCUUGUUCCUAGCGUGUGGGGGACAGAUUGGGUUUUGUGGGGGGGGGGGGGUGUAUGGCCGUGAUCUUGGUUAGGGCAGAAGGCGGCCGGUGAGGGGACCGUUGUCAUAACAUAGCUGGGAGAGAGUGCGGCUAUAGCCAGGCAGCUGGGUUUCUGGGCGCACGGUGCCUCAGCCUGAACAAGGACUUGCUGUCUGACCCUGGACCGACCCCCACCCUCCAACACUUUCCAGCCAUUCUUCCGAGAGGGAAAGGAUUCUCGCUGUCUCUGGCGACUUCCAGGGGGCCUGGGGUCUGCGGGGAAGGGGAAAACUACUUGGAGAGGGUGAUAUACGCUCCAAGUGAAGUUCGCCGAGUGAUAUACGCUCCAAGUGAAGUUCGGAACUUUCAUUCUCCAAGUGAAGAGAUAAUGGCACCAGGGCUGUCUUCUGUGAGUUAGGCUCUCGUGGUGGCAGGGCCACCUAUGCUCUGAGAGGUUGCCUGUCGCAUAGGCACGGCGUGACUAGUGACAGGCCCCCAAGGGGUGGGUGCAGGUCAGGCUGGGUGGGGCAAGCUCCCAGUGGCCAGCUGGGCAGUUUCCAGCUGAGCUGGGGCCCUCGGUGGAAUGGCCUGGCUUCAGGGCACAAGUGAGCCACCAAUGGGUGGCAUUCCACAGAUGGGCGGCAUUCUGGACCGUGAAGUUCACAGGAGUCAAAGGUCCAGGGUCGGGGGUUGGUGGGGGGAGCCUCUGCUGCCCUGGAGGCCUGUCUAGCCUGGUCCGUAGAGAAGGACUGUAAACGAGGCUCUGAUUCUGGAAGCCCCUUUCAUCCUCCCGUAAGAAAAAAAAAAAAAAAAUUGGUCACCACGCUCUUCCUUCUUGGCCACUUUCUGACCAUCCCCUCACCCCCCCCAUUUCCUCCAGCCUGCACUUCCCCACGGAGCCUGUCAGGGGGUUGAUUCGAAUCUGAAAACCAUCCGGGACACCCCAGCCAUCUUUGCCCACCGCAGGCUGUUUCUGUAGGGGGUUGGGGACCUGUGUUCCUACUUAGGCCCACCUGACGCUGUUGCCUCUUGUAGAGCUCACCUCUGAUGAAGUGGGCAGGAUGGGCACGGGGAACGCUGGACUGAGGUCCCCGUUCACACGGCAGCCCCCCCACGGCGUGCUGGGUCUCAGGGUUCACCCUCACGCCUCCUGCCACGGACAGAGGGUCCGUGUCCGCCGGCUUUUCAUGUCCCUUGCCUCUUACGCAAGAGAGCAGAAAUUCUCUAUUUUCUGAAAGGGGAGAGCUGCCGGAAGCUUUGUUCCUUUUGGGCCCAUUUUAGAGACAGGGUAACCAAAGCCGUGACUGCCGGCGGGAAACAACCAGAGCUCAGUUCCUGCUUCCCGUUAGAGUCUUGAGUCUUUCCAGUUGUUCUUCAAGAGGGCUUCCAGAGCUGAGCAGCUCUCCCCCCCCAGGUUUCCUGACACCCCCAGCCCCGGUCUCCACCCCACCUGGUCCCGGCCUGGCCUCUGAGGAAGCCUGGAGCCGACUGUCUUGUUUUCACAUGCCGCUUGAGGCCCGUGACUGCCACUCAGUUUCUCAGGAGCUCAGUCUCUCUGCAAGGUGGGCGUCCGUGCCCCCCAUGUGAAGACACGGGCCAGAUGACCCUUCUCCCGGAUCUUCCUGCGUUCCCCAGCUCUUGGGACUGCCCUCAUCCACUUACGAUUCCUUUUCAUUCCGGUCCACGGCCCUCCCUGAGCAGAAAGCACUGGGGUGAGAGUUGGCUCUGGGUGCAGCAAAGGCUGGUCAUUCCCGGGUGUGCCAUGGGGCCAGUGAGGCUGGCCACCGGCCAGGCCAGGCACUGGAGAAAUUGUGCUGCGGUGGAGACCUGGUGGCUGCCCUACCCGCCACAGAGCGUCCAGGGCCCCCUGGGAUGUGGGCCAGUGUCGGGUGAGGGGACCCUCCACUCCACCUCAGCUCCCCUGGGCUGGGCGGGUUGACUGCCGACUUACCUGGAGAGAGUUCAAGGACAGCAAGAAAAAUGAGGGACUUUCAGGGGCAGCUGUGUUUUCUGACUCAGUCAUAAUGCCCCUAAAAAUCCUUAUUGUUCUUGCAGUGUGCAUCGGGCAAGCAGCUGCCAAGCCACCCCUUACCCACCUGGCCGCUCCGGGACAGGAAGGGCUUCCCGGGGUCAGAUUGGGAUGUCCUCCCCCAUCCUCUUGAGAGCGAAUCAUUAAAACAAUGCUGUUGGGCCGAUGCAUUGAUUUACAUAUAUUUUUCCUUUUUUUUUUUUUGGUGGAGGAUUGGGGAGGGCUGGGCAUUGAGAUAGUCCUGCCCAGAUUGGAACUCAGAAGAAUAUAGGGUCUCCCCAGUUUGUGUGCAGUAAGGGUUCAGAGGACCCCAGCUGCAGGUGCAGGGCCCAAGGAGGGGUGUCUUAGGGGCGAGCAGCAGUGUGGGGCUUGUGGGAUGCCCACCUUUCCUGAGAAGUUAGAACUGUUUAGGGGCAGGAGGGGAGAAGGCACCUGGGCAGGAACUUGUACUGUGUUUUAUUUAUCUUGAGAGAGAGAGUACGUGUGCACCAGUUGGGGGGGGCGGUGCGGGCAGAGAGAGAGACUCCCAGGCAGGCUCUGUGCUGUCAGCUCAAAGCCUGACUCACGAACCGAACCAUGAGAUCACGACCAGAGCCGAAAUCAAGAGGCAGACGCUUAACCGGCUGAGCUACCCAGGCGCCCCUGAGCUAUGCUUUAAAACCGAGGGAGCCUCAGCGAACUCCCUGGGAGCAUUACCUGGCCAUUUUGAAAAUACCCUCCCAGUGGAUUCAAGUUCCCCCCCCCCCCCCACCCAACCAAUCCCUGCUGUGCCCCCGGAGCUUGCUUUUUCUUGGCUGGAUGUUCUCUAUCCCUGUUUCACCUCCUGCGGCUCCCCGCUUCUCAGCAGGUGGCCCUGUCCCCACCUUUACCAGCCCACCCCACAGGUAUUUUGGCUGAGCCGAGGCCUUGUCUUGGGUGGGUUUAGGGGUUGCGUGCUGGGGGAUGGUCAAGAAGAAAUACCAAUUUGUGACAUUGUCCGGCUUAACCCAGGAAUGCCAAUUCACAAAACUGUCACCAGAUCCCAAAGCACCAGAACCUUCCCCCCACAGCUAAGGCCUGCCCAUAGAUGGACAGGGAGGUGAACAGGCAGCAAGCAGGACCCUCUGGUCCACCCCAGGACUCAUCAACCUCACGCGUCAGCAAGGGAAAUGAACCCUCUAGGUAUUUCUUAGGUUUCUAGGUACAGACUUACAAGCCCUCGUCACUGGAGAAGAUGGCUGUUUGCAGGACCCUGACCACGUGAUCAUCCUUCCGGCCAGCCUUCCUCCUUCGGGCCCCUUACUCCCGGGCUCUGGUCAUCCCAGCCAUGCCUCCAUACCAGCUCUGCCAGAGACCGUUUUUAAAGGGCUGGGUCUGCUCAGGAGCGUCCGCAUUAAGAUCUGCCCAGGAGAAGGGACAACUUCAAGGUAAAGGUUAACAUGAGGUGGGGGUGGGGGGGGCAUGGAGUGAUGUUUAUCCCUUCUUGGUAAGAGGUGGAUGGGUCUUUCAAGAAAUGAGAUUCUCACCACCUACCGUGGACACGGGAUGAUACAUUAUUCCUUAUAGCUAAGCAUUUGCUACCUCUAAAUCAGCUCUCCGGCCCUGAGGCCCCUUUGCCCUGCCACCCCCACCCCCCGCCCAAACUCCUUGUUCCUGAGUGUGUUCCUUGUUCCUUACCCCAGAAGCUUGCAAAAUAAAACCAAAAAAAAAAAGUCAAUUUUGUACAAAAGGAAAUACAUGAAAAAACUGAAUACUGUUUUCCCCCCCAACUGUAAUAGAACUGCCUUCCACCAUAGAGCAUUUCAAAAUACAGGAGGAUGAAAAGGCUCACAGAAACGCCCAUACCUAGACAGAACGUCUGCUAAUAAACAGAUCCUUCCAGCGUUUUUCCCCCAUGCGCGUAUACCCCCCACCCAGUUAGCAGGAUUGGGGUUUUUUAAAAGGCGUGAGGCUCGCAACCCGUUUGAGCAAUGGCCCUGUGCUCUUGGGAGCUACAGUCUCUCUUUUCUUCUUGCCAAGUGGGACGGGCAGGAGCUCGCCCACAGCCAGGAAGCCCGGAGCUGUCAGUGGCGGGUACUGGAGCCACACUAGGUCUCUCUUCUAAACCGAGAUGGAUGGAGUUGGUGAGGAGGCUGGAAAUGCAGGCUUUGUCCUCACUGAUCUCUAAGUGGGCUGCCGCACGGCUUCUAGACUCUGGUCGCGCUCGGAAUCUGGGGAGCGUUACAGACACGUCAGGGCCUGCUUCCUCCCCAGCAAGGCCAGUUGGAUCUGGGUGGCUGGGGAUAGGGGAGCACCCAGGGACUGGUCUCUUGGUCUUCUCUUCCUCGGGUGAUUCUGUUAAGCAUCCAGAGAACUCUCCGGCCACGCACCCACGAGCUAGAGAUGGAAGAGAUUCUGGCAGCCCGGCCUUCAGAGCCUGAUCGAGGAGAUGUGACCAUUUGCAGUUGGCAGAAUUUCACGUCCAUUAUUUUCUCUGCCGCUCAGAGCCCUCUUUUGGUCCUCAUUCUACGGAUGGAGGGAGUGAGGCAAAAGCGAUCAGGAGACUCGCCGGGAGACACAGUCAAGGAUAGGGCAGCGCUGGGGUUCGGGGCUGCAGCCUUGGACUCCCGCUGCCAGUGCUCUUUCGGUAAUAAGUAUUUAUAAUUAGUAUAUGGUUUUAACAAGCGUAUCAUAACGCUUUGGUCAUCCAGUCCCGGGAGGUGAGUGGGCGGGUGCUGCUGUCUCACGGAGCAUGGUGGGUAUCUGCACCACAGAGAGGCUGGUCCCCCUGCUGUGAGUGCUCCCAGCCAGCCUGGACCCACAGCCGCCCCAAUUCAGCCCUCCGUUGGCCUAGGAUCCCAGCCCUGGGCAGGGCAAGAUUUAACCUCAUUUUCAGAACACAUCAGCCGUGUGGCCUAGGUGACAGCUGGCGGGUGGCUGAGGCCCCUGGUUCCCUGCUCCCGGCCUGGACAGAGGUAUCUAGGAAGGCACACAGCCUGCAUGGGGCUUGCUCAUCUGGGCCCUGCCCUGAGCUGGCAGCCCUCAGGGUCAGGACCCCCUCCGGAGGUGCCUACGUCUCCGGAAGCCUGUCCCUGCCUCUCCUCCUUUCCCUACAGAGCUAGACUCCAGGAGCCUGGCCUGAGGGCCACCUGGGCAGGCUGCCGGUGCAGGGGACUCACGGGCAGGCGCAUGGCGAGCUCCAGGAAGCCGUCAGCUGUUCCUAGACCAGCCUGCAGAGCCGGACGGCCAGCCUGCCUCCAACACGAGGGGUGGAGCCAGGAACUGAGAACACUGCUUUCCCAGAGCCUAGCUGGGCCAGGCCCACGGGCUUUCUCGGGCGCUGAGGGCCUGAGCCUUGGCUCUCUCUCCCUCGGUCUGUCUCCCCCCCUGCCCGCCACCAGCUAUUCCGCGGCAGAGUAUACGCUCUUGGCAAGGCCGUCCAUUUAACCUGCUUCCCAGAAAACAGGAUGGUUGGGCAGGCAGACUCAGCCAGCACCUUGGUGGGAAACAGGGCGGUGGACCUCAGCGCAGGCUUUUCUUGCCCGUACUCCUUGGGGGCCGGGUUGGGAGGUAGCCCUAAGCUGCCUUGGCUUACCUGGGUCAGAAGUAACCUCAGUUCAACUCACAGCCAGGCAGAGGCAAGAGCUUUGAGCUCCUGGAGCUGGGGAGAGGGGAAGGAUAAGCCUUGGCCCAGGAGUCUGAUCAGGGGCACUUAGCUGGGAGCCUUGGGUAAAGCCCCCCAUCUCUGAGUCUGUUACCUCAUUUGUUUGAUGGGCAUAAGAGUGCCCUUUAGAAAUGUGUCUGAAUACAAGGCUUCCGAAUGCAAAAAUGAAGUCGUUGUUUCCCCCUUCUCUCCCCUUCCAGGAGGACACUUCCACAGAGAACCCUGGGAGAUGUCUGGCACAGAGAAGAUGCUCACUUAAUGUAGGUGCACUGCUCCAGAAGUGAGGUCUGGGUCUCAGUGUGUCGGAGGGUGCCUUCCGUCCUUAUCUCUACAAAGGUGACCUUUCCUUCCGCUUCCUCUCUGGCUGUCCUGCCCUGGCCGGACCCCAUAGGGAUCGUGGUUCUGGCUUGAGACGCUGCAUUCCUCUCUGGCCGGGCCCGCCGAGACCCAGAGCCCAGGGAGGACUCCUUCCCCUCCUCGAUGCUCGUCCUGCAAGUCCAGACGCCGUCAACUCCAAGGCGUUCCCUCUGGGCCCGGGCCAGAGUAGCUGCGGCCGAGCUCCUCCCUCCCCCGCCAGCCUCCUUGGGUGCAGACAGCCCAGCACAGGCAGGAAGGGCCUUCUGUUUGCCUUGGCUGGUGGGGAAGAGAUUAGUGCUCGCUUUCUGUUUGGACUCUUGUAUCUAACUAACAGGCAGGCCCGUGACGUCGAAGCAAAGCACACUUGAGCCUUGAAUGAGUUUGGGCCCUGUUCCUGAGGCCCAGCCACUGCAGAGGUGUCUGGAGGUAGGAAGGGGUGAUAACACCACCCCUUGGGUAUAUGGAGAAAUGUAAUGGCCGUCUGUCAGCUGUCCCUACCCAGAGUCCACGACCCUUACUUUGGGUAAUGCCUCCUCAGGAGACCACUUCUCCCCGACCUCGACUUUAGAGGCAAGCAUGGAUCCCCGGACACACACGGAGACUCCCCCUUGGUGGUUUUGCAGCAGCUACGGGGAAAGCCCCCUUGGUGGUUUUGCAGCAGCUACGGGGAAAGAGGCAUUUGCUUUUUUGUGGGAUUUGCCAGGCUGAUGGAACUGCUGGCGGCCAUCCUGUUCUCUGCUUGAGGUCAAAGCCAACAAAGAAGAAAAAGCUCAGAGAUGGAGAGAAUAUGCUGUGCAGAUAUCCAUAAGCCCCUGGAUUGAGCCAUGCCUGAAGCUAACUCUACUCCUGGAUUAACCCGAUUAUAUGAGCCAAUGCAUUUCUUCUGUGCUAAAAUUAUCCUAAGUGGGGUUUCUGUCAUAGAAAGGAGCCUAAUAAAACAGUGUUUUUCUUUGGUCUCAUUAAGAAAAAAAAAUCAACUCUGAGGUAUACUUUGCAUGCAAUAAAAUCUACCCAUUCGAAGUGCUCAAGUCCUAAAUUUUAUCAAAUGUGUACACCCUGGUAACUACCACUGCAGUCGAGAUGUAGAACAUUUCAAGUUCUUAUUCCCCUUUAUAGUCCUUUACCCUGAACAACCACUGACCUGCCUUUGUUGUAGAGAUUAAUUUUGCCUUUCUAGAACUUCAUAUAAAUAUUAUCAUUUAGUGUUUACUCUUCUGUGUCUGGCUUCUUUUAUUCAGCAGGUCUUUGAGAUGCACCCAUGUUGU